rnacentral:lncRNA from 1 species
UCUUUGAUUCUAACCUUAGGUCUAACCCAAUUGAAAGGACCUGAUUUGAGCUAAUGCAUGCCCCAUGUUUUAUGCAAUGUCAUUAGAUCUUUAAUCAUAAUUUUAAAUCUAAAAUAUAUUUCUUAAUUCUUAAUUAAGUAUAGCAUUAAUAUGAAUUAAGGUUAUUAAUUGAAAUAAUUUCAAUUUUAUAAAAUAAUUUUACAUCAAUUCUAUGUAAAAUUUUUUUGAUCUAAAAACUAGAGCGGCUCACC